CCUACGGGAGGCAGCAGUAGGGAAUAUUGCACAAUGGGGGAAACCCUGAAGCAGCAACGCCGCGUGGAGGAUGAAGGUUUUCGGAUUGUAAACUCCUUUCGGUAGAGAAGAUAAUGACGGUAUCUAACGAAUAAGCACCGGCUAACUCCGUGCCAGCAGCCGCGGUAAUACGGAGGGUGCAAGCGUUACUCGGAAUCACUGGGCGUAAAGAGCGCGUAGGCGGGUUAGCAAGUCAGAUGUGAAAUCCUAUGGCUUAACCAUAGAACUGCAUUUGAAACUGUUAUUCUAGAGUAUGGGAGAGGUAGGUGGAAUUCUUGGUGUAGGGGUAAAAUCCGUAGAGAUCAGGAGGAAUACUCGUUGCGAAGGCGGCCUGCUGGAACAUGACUGACGCUGAUGCGCGAAAGCGUGGGGAGCAAACAGGAUUAGAUACCCCGGUAGUC
rnacentral:rRNA from 1 species